UAGCUCAGAUGGUAAAGAAUCUGCCUGCAAAGCAGAAGACCCAGGUUCUAUCCCUGG
rnacentral:tRNA from 1 species